rfam:Loktanella sediminum strain DSM 28715 genome assembly, contig: Ga0131264_101
AGGUCGACAGGACACCUAGACGCUGCCAGCCCAUCAGGGCCACGCUAAACCUGUCA